GACGAACGCUGGCGGCGUGCUUAACACAUGCAAGUCGAACGGAAAGGCCCUGCUUUUGUGGGGUGCUCGAGUGGCGAACGGGUGAGUAACACGUGAGUAACCUGCCCUUGACUUUGGGAUAACUUCAGGAAACUGGGGCUAAUACCGGAUAGGAGCUCCUGCUGCAUGGUGGGGGUUGGAAAGUUUCGGCGGUUGGGGAUGGACUCGCGGCUUAUCAGCUUGUUGGUGGGGUAGUGGCUUACCAAGGCUUUGACGGGUAGCCGGCCUGAGAGGGUGACCGGCCACAUUGGGACUGGGAUACGGCCCAGACUCCUACGGGAGGCAGCAGUGGGGAAUAUUGCACCAUGGGCGGAAGCCUGGUGCAGCAACGCCGCGUGCGGGAUGACGGCCUUCGGGUUGUAAACCGCUUUCGCCUGUGACGAAGCGUGAGUGACGGUAAUGGGUAAAGAAGCACCGGCUAACUACGUG
rnacentral:rRNA from 1 species